GAAGAAAAAGUCAGUCGGCGUCUAACAUUCAGAGAGAAAAUACAUAAAACCUGUAAGGGAAUUCAAACUCUGGUCCUGUACCUCCUGAAUUCCUCAUCACGUAUUAUUCUAGUCAAUAUUCAUAAAGACUAUCGUAAAUUGCCCAUACAUACAAGCGUGAGGGUUUAUGAAAAAAGCCCGUCAGAUCGUGUCUGAGUUCCGUGUGUCGGAGCCAGUCAUUCAAGUAAACUGCACAAGGGCGUAUAGACCCUUAACCUGUGUGUGUGUGAAAAUUAAUUAUCCGUGUGAUUAGUGCAAACCAGUCGUGUUCGAAAAUCAGAUCUAAAAGAUCUAUUGUGUUCAUUGCGAAAGACAGGUGUGUCAGAGCGUUAUUCCUUGCAUCAAAGGAAUCACUGUGUCCUGUCUAUGACCACCUCAUAAGUGUCUCUGUUCUCUCUUACCUCCAUCCGCAGUAUGUCCGGCAUAGUCCUGUCUCAACAGGUGUUUCCCACCACCCGUGAAGCCUUUCGUGAAUUUAUUCUGUCUGUCAGGGGUGCUACUGCAUCACCUGUCACUAUCUGCAUCACCUGUCAAAAAAAUAAAACUAGAAAUCGAUAAUGAAGAAACCGAAUGCGGCGCCGGAAAAGAAGGCGAAGCGAGAACCCGUGCGGUCCGUAAUGGAAAAGGGUCCAAUAAUGGUCCUAGUAGUCCAAAUGUCCGGUCGGACACACCCGCUUCGGAUGUAUCUGUGAGCAAUCUGACAAAAAAGUUUGGAUCUCGUACGGUUACUCCGUCCACUAGUCUAUGUGUUCCCUUUCCAACACCCAGUCCAUCGAUUAGUCUACAUGCAAGUGACUUUUCCGACUCAGAGUCCACCAUCUCUACGUCCGUAACUGAAAAUGACUUCCCCGAUUCAGUGUCUACCAUUUCCACACUCGUAACCGCAAGAGAGGCUCCGCCUGUCCUCCAGCAACCGCAACCGAAUAUGCACAGCGAUGAGGACCUCUGGUGUAACUGGGAUUCCUGGCAGCCCGUCUCUUAAUAUCAUCGUCACAACUGGCUGCCUUAUAGUGUCACCUAUUCCCGGGGUUUGCCCACCAGUAUUACCUAUCGUCGUCAAAAUAUAAAUUAUCAGUGGUGUCGUCCCGGCUAUACACCUCGUACGCCCUCAUA